UCUCUGGGCUUAACCCAGAGGGCUGCUUUCAAAACUGCCGUGCUCGAGUGCGAGAGAGGUCAGUGGAAUUGCAGGUGUAGCGGUGAAAUGCGUAGAUAUCUGCAGGAACACCCGUGGCGAAGGCGGCUGACUGGAUCGCAACUGACGCUGAGGAACGAAAGCUAGGGGAGCAAACAGGAUUAGAUACCCUGGUAGUCCUAGCCCUAAACCAUCAGGACUUGGGGUGGCCCGCGUAGGCGGGUCGUCCCGUAGCUAACGCGUUAAGUCCUGCGCCUGGGGAGUACGGUCGCAAGACUGAAACUCAAAGGAAUUGACGGGGGCCCGCACAAGCGGUGGAACAUGUGGUUCAAUUCGACGCAACGCGAAGAACCUUACCUGGGCUUGAACCGCUACUGACCAACGGUAGAAAUAUCGUCUUCCCGCAAGGGACAGUAGUAGAGGUGCUGCAUGGCUGUCGUCAGCUCGUGCCGUGAGGUGUUGGGUUAAGUCCCGCAACGAGCGCAACCCUUAUUCGUAGUUGCCACCCGCAAGGGGGAACUCUACGAGGACUGCUCCGGAUAACGGAGAGGAAGGUGGGGAUGACGUCAAGUCAGCACGGCCUUUAUGUCCAGGGCUACACACGUGUUACAAUGCGCGGCACAGACUGUUGCGAACCCGCGAGGGGGAGCUAAUCGGAAAAAACCGCGCUCAGUUCGGAUUGCAGUCUGCAACUCGACUGCAUGAAGCUGGAAUCGCUAGUAAUGGCGUAUCAGAUCGACGCCGUGAAUACGUUCCCGGGCCUUGUACACACCGCCCGUCACAUCACGAAAGUGAGCUGUACUAGAAGUCGCCCAGCCAACCGUAAGGAGGCAGGCGCCCAAGGUAUGGCCCAUGAUUGGGGUG
rnacentral:rRNA from 1 species